AAGGCCUUCGGGUUGUAAACCGCUUUUGUCAGGGAAGAAAAGCUCCGGGCCAAUACCUCGGAGUUAUGACGGUACCUGAAGAAUAAGCACCGGCUAACUACGUGC
rnacentral:rRNA from 1 species